CGCACCGCACUGUGCGAUUCGGU
rnacentral:snRNA from 1 species